rnacentral:rRNA from 1 species
UGGGUAACCUGCCUCAAAGAGGGGAAUAGCCUCCCGAAAGGGAGAUUAAUACCGCAUAAUAUGUUUAGGUCGCAUGACUUUAACAUCAAAGGAUUUUCUUUUAGAAAUUCCACUUUGAGAUGGACCCGCGGCGCAUUAGCUAGUUGGUGUGGUAACGGCUCACCAAGGCAACGAUGCGUAGCCGACCUGAGAGGGUGAUCGGCCACAUUGGAACUGAGACACGGUCCAGACUCCGUAGGAGG